GCUUUGGUGAUUCAGUGGUAGAAUUUUUGCCUUCCAUGCAAGAGAUCCGGAUUUGAUUCCUGCUCAAUGCC
rnacentral:tRNA from 1 species